rnacentral:rRNA from 1 species
CACUAUCGUUAACUGAAUACAUAGGUUAACGAGGCGAACCGGGGGAACUGAAACAUCUAAGUACCCCGAGGAAAAGAAAUCAACCGAGAUUCCCCCAGUAGCGGCGAGCGAACGGGGAGCAGCCCAGAGUCUGAAUCAGCUUGUGUGUUAGUGGAACGGUCUGGAAAGUCCGACGGUACAGGGUGAUAGUCCCGUACACCAAAAUGCACAGGUUGUGAACUCGAAGAGUAGGGCGGGACACGUGGUAUCCUGUCUGAAUAUGGGGGGACCAUCCUCCAAGGCUAAAUACUCCUGACUGACCGAUAGUGAACCAGUACCGUGAGGGAAAGGCGAAAAGAACCCCGGCGAGGGGAGUGAAAAAGAACCUGAAACCGUGUACGUACAAGCAGUGGGAGCACCUUCGGGUGUGACUGCGUACCUUUUGUAUAAUGGGUCAGCGACUUAUAUUCUGUAGCAAGGUUAACCGUAUAGGGGAGCCGCAGGGAAACCGAGUCUUAACUGGGCGUUAAGUUGCAGGGUAUAGACCCGAAACCCGGUGAUCUAGCCAUGGGCAGGUUGAAGGUUGGGUAACACUAACUGGAGGACCGAACCGACUAAUGUUGAAAAAUUAGCGGAUGACUUGUGGCUGGGGGUGAAAGGCCAAUCAAACCGGGAGAUAGCUGGUUCUCCCCGAAAGCUAUUUAGGUAGCGCCUCGUGAACUCAUCUUCGGGGGUAGAGCACUGUUUCGGCUAGGGGGUCAUCCCGACUUACCAACCCGAUGCAAACUACGAAUACCGAAGAAUGUUAUCACGGGAGACACACGGCGGGUGCUAACGUCCGUCGUGAAGAGGGAAACAACCCAGACCGCCAGCUAAGGUCCCAAAGUCAUGGUUAAGUGGGAAACGAUGUGGGAAGGCACAGACAGCCAGGAUGUUGGCUUAGAAGCAGCCAUCAUUUAAAGAAAGCGUAAUAGCUCACUGGUCGAGUCGGCCUGCGCGGAAGAUGUAACGGGGCUAAACCAUGCACCGAAGCUGCGGCAGCGACACUAUGUGUUGUUGGGUAGGGGAGCGUUCUGUAAGCCUGCGAAGGUGUGCUGUGAGGCAUGCUGGAGGUAUCAGAAGUGCGAAUGCUGACAUAAGUAACGAUAAAGCGGGUGAAAAGCCCGCUCGCCGGAAGACCAAGGGUUCCUGUCCAACGUUAAUCGGGGCAGGGUGAGUCGACCCCUAAGGCGAGGCCGAAAGGCGUAGUCGAUGGGAAACAGGUUAAUAUUCCUGUACUUGGUGUUACUGCGAAGGGGGGACGGAGAAGGCUAUGUUAGCCGGGCGACGGUUGUCCCGGUUUAAGCAUGUAGGCUG